GCCCCCCGAAUUGUAGUCUAGAAACGCUCUAUCGGCCGCGUCCAUCGCUAAAAUCCCUUGGAAUAGGGUAUCGGAGAAGGUGAGAAUCCUGUGACGCGGUGGAUCGCGGCCAGUCGUUGAGCAGUUACAGAGUCGGGUUGCUUGGGAUUGCAGCUUGAAUUGGGAGGUAAAUUCCUUCUAAAGCUAAAUAUUGCAGCGAGACCGAUAGCGAACAAGUACCGUGAGGGAAAGAUGAAAAGAACUUUGAAAAGAGAGUUAAAGAGUGCUUGAAACCGACAAGGGGAAACCCGGUUGUGCCCGGUGUCGUGCAGUCGACUCAAUCUUUACGGAUGCACUUCUACUGUACGGGUCAGACGCCUCUCUGUGGGAGGGACAAUCAUCUGGGAGGCUUCGGCGAGCCAGUACCUACCUCGCAUGGGGCGCCGUCUGACGUAACGGGCACCACCGACCCGUCUAGAAACACGGACCAAGGAGUCUGACAUGGGCGCGAGUACUCGGGUGUCAAACCUGUGUGCGCAAUGAAAGUGAAGGGCGUGCCCCGCCAACCGACCUUGAUCUUCUGUGAAGGGUUUGAGUGGAGCGUUCCUGUCGGGACCCGAAAGAUGGUGAACUAUGCCUGUAUAGGUUGAAGUCUGCUGAAAGGCAGAUGGAGGGCCGUAGCGAUACUGACGUGCAAAUCGUUCGUCUAAUAUGGGUAUAGGGGCGAAAGACUAAUCGAACCAUCUAGUAGCUGGUUCCCUCCGAAGUUUCCCUCAGGAUAGCUUGAACGCCGACGGUUUUGU
rnacentral:rRNA from 1 species